ACGGGAGGCAGCAGUGAGGAAUAUUGGUCAAUGGGCGGAAGCCUGAACCAGCCAAGUCGCGUGAAGGAUGAAGGUAUUAUGUAUUGUAAACUUCUUUAGACGUAGAGAAAUAAGAGGCUCGUGAGCCUUGAUGCUAGUAUACGUAGAAUAAGGAUCGGCUAACUCCGUGCCAGCAGCCGCGGUAAUACGGAGGAUCCGAGCGUUAUCCGGAUUUAUUGGGUUUAAAGGGAGCGCAGGCGGAGAUGCAAGCCAGCCGUAAAAUCGUUGAGCUCAACUCAAUCUCGCGGUUGGAACUGCAUCCCUUGAGUGCGGGAGAGGCAGGUGGAAUUCGUGGUGUAGCGGUGAAAUGCAUAGAUAUCACGAAGAACUCCGAUUGCGAAGGCAGCCUGCUGGUCCGUUACUGACGCUCAUGCUCGAAGGUGCGGGUAUCAAACAGGAUUAGAUACCCUGGUA
rnacentral:rRNA from 1 species